CUCUAAGAAGACCAAAGCAUCUUACUUCUGUAAAUGGCCCAACACACGCCAGCUGGGUGGACCCCCUGGUGAACUCCCUCUCGGAUUCUCGGGGGGCUCUGCGAGCCUACGCUCCCUUGGCUUCCGGGAAAAUCAGCCUGUGCUCAGAGGGGCGAGCUGACCCUCCCCGGGUCCCCCAGCUCAUGUGGAAGAGAUCUGACCCGAGUUCCCGGGGAAACCGCCCUCUCCAUGCCCUCCCCCGCAGCCACUCUCUCAGCCUUGCCUCAUUCUCCAGGUGAACUGGGCCAGUGAGGCGGGCCUCCAUCUGGCUCUGGGGUGGGGCAGUCAGAAACCCAGGCUUGGACCUUCAGAAUCACCUUGGGAGCUUGUCAAGAAUCCAUGGUCCUGGGCCUGCCCCCGCAGAUACAGCGUUAGUGGGUCUGAGCCAGGGCCUGGAAAUCUGUAUUUUCAGUGGGGCCCCCCAGUGAGGCUGCUCAGCCACUCCCUUUGGGGACAUGCUGCUUCUGGGACACCCCCUUCUGCCCUGUCGCCUGGCUGUGUCUGGCUCCCUGCCAGGCUGGGCCUGGCACCACGGCUGAGCAGGCCUCAUUUCUCAGGUAUGCAAUUAGCAGCCCCAAGAACAAUACGCUGUUUUAAUCAUUACAGCUCCCAGCCCGUCUGGUAAUUUGCUGCCUCUUUUACUGCAAUAACAAGCUCUGGCUUGGGAACAGGGGCGGAGCGCCGGGCUUUCAUCCCAGCCUUCCCACACGCCUGCAGUGGGGCCUGCGGGAGAGCCGGAGACACACCUCACACGUGGACAACCCGGGAAGGCUUCCCGGGGGAAGUGGCUGUGGGCUGUCCAUCAGCAGGACCCAGAAAGGGGCUGGAAUUUGGCCCAGUGCUGGGGAGAUAGUGGUAGACACGUGGUGAACACCAUUCACGCCCUCGUGGGGCCCACCCUCUUAUUAGAGAUCGCAGAGUAGAGAAGCCGCUGCACCCAGCAGGAUAUUUGUUCUUUGAACCCGCCUGCCAUGCUGGGAGGAAGCCCAAACUCAUCUGCUUGGAGAGACCCUGGAAACAGCAGCUGUGGUUGCGUCAACUGCUCCUCGUAUGGUUUGAGUUGAAGACACGGGUUCAGGAGGAAGCUUCGCCAUGUCCAGCUGAGUGGCUUGGGCUCACCUACCCAAGUCUCUGCAGAGUUCUCUUCGGAGACAGGGAUAACAACAGUGCCUGCCUGCCUCCUCUCAGUACUGAGGGUGACAUGAGUCGACAAGUUGAGCUGGGACUUCCUGGUGGACUCCACACUCCCAGUGCAGGGGCCCGGGUUCGAUCUCUGGUCGAGGAACAAGAUCCCACAUGCUGCAACUACAGAUCCCUCAGGCUGCAACGAAGAUCAAAGGUCCUAUUUGCUUCAAGAUGUGGUGCAACCCCCCAAUGCAUUUUUUAAACAAAAAAAAAAAUUGAGCCAAAGAGCAGGAAAGGAUUUUAUGCA
ensembl:lncRNA